GAUCCUGGCUCAGAUUGAACGCUGGCGGCAGGCCUAACACAUGCAAGUCGAGCGGAUGAAGGGAGCUUGCUCCUGGAUUCAGCGGCGGACGGGUGAGUAAUGCCUAGGAAUCUGCCUGGUAGUGGGGGAUAACGUCCGGAAACGGGCGCUAAUACCGCAUACGUCCUGAGGGAGAAAGUGGGGGAUCUUCGGACCUCACGCUAUCAGAUGAGCCUAGGUCGGAUUAGCUAGUUGGUGGGGUAAAGGCCUACCAAGGCGACGAUCCGUAACUGGUCUGAGAGGAUGAUCAGUCACACUGGAACUGAGACACGGUCCAGACUCCUACGGGAGGCAGCAGUGGGGAAUAUUGGACAAUGGGCGAAAGCCUGAUCCAGCCAUGCCGCGUGUGUGAAGAAGGUCUUCGGAUUGUAAAGCACUUUAAGUUGGGAGGAAGGGCAGUAAGUUAAUACCUUGCUGUUUGACGUACCAACAGA
rnacentral:rRNA from 1 species